AUUUAAUUCAGGUAAAUUUGUUUGCAGGUUCUUCUUCUCCAUCUUAAUUGAUUCUAUCUUAACAAAAGAUUCAGCGUAUAGCUUCUCCAAUGAUUAACGUAAGAGCAGAAUAAAUCAAGGUUGUGAUUAUGGAUUCUUCUAAUGCAUCAAAUUCAAAUGCCACAAACACUACCUGAUGACUUGAUGUUGGACUCUAAUUAUGGACUACUUGGUGGAGAUGAUGGAGCUACGGAAGAUUAUGAUAUCUAUGAUGAAUCGAAUGAUUUUGAUUAAAAUUGUAAUGUCCAUGUUUAAUUAUGUUUCCAGAUUGUGAACUUUAAAGUUGUGAAUUCUCCCAUUUUUCCAAUUUGAACUUCA